CGUACCGGGGUUUGGACUCCAGACAUCUGGCAUGAGAGGCGAGCGUGGUACCACUACUCCACCGGCAC
rnacentral:tRNA from 11 species